CUCGUAGGUGGCCAACUAAGUCAGACGUGAAAUCCCUCGGCUUAACCGGGGAACUGCGUCUGAUACUGGAUGGCUUGAGUUUGGGAGAGGGACGCGGAAUUCCAGGUGUAGCGGUGAAAUGCGUAGAUAUCUGGAGGAACACCGGUGGCGAAGGCGGCGUCCUGGACCAACACUGACACUGAUGAGCGAAAGCCAAGGGGGAGCAAACGG
rnacentral:rRNA from 1 species